GAUGAACGCUGGCGGCGUGCUUAACACAUGCAAGUCGAACGGGAAACAUUUCAUUGAGGCUUCGGCGGAUUUGAUCUGUUUCUAGUGGCGGACGGGUGAGUAACGCGUGGGUAACCUGCCUUAUACUGGGGGAUAACAGCCAGAAAUGACUGCUAAUACCGCAUAAGCGCACAGAACCGCAUGGUUCGGUGUGAAAAACUCCGGUGGUAUAAGAUGGACCCGCGUUGGAUUAGCUAGUUGGCAGGGCAGCGGCCUACCAAGGCGACGAUCCAUAGCCGGCCUGAGAGGGUGAACGGCCACAUUGGGACUGAGACACGGCCCAGACUCCUACGGGAGGCAGCAGUGGGGAAUAUUGCACAAUGGGGGAAACCCUGAUGCAGCGACGCCGCGUGAAGGAAGAAGUAUCUCGGUAUGUAAACUUCUAUCAGCAGGGAAGAUAAUGACGGUAC
rnacentral:rRNA from 1 species